rnacentral:rRNA from 1 species
GACAGAGGGUGCAAACGUUGUUCGGAAUUACUGGGCGUAAAGCGCGUGUAGGCUGUUUCGCGAGUCGGAUGUGAAAGCCCUGGGCUCAACCUAGGAAGUGCAUUCGAAACUGCGAGACUUGAGUCCUGGAGAGGAAGGCGGAAUUCUCGGUGUAGAGGUGAAAUUCGUAGAUAUCGAGAGGAACACCGGUGGCGAAGGCGGCCUUCUGGACAGUGACUGACGCUGAGACGCGAAAGCGUGGGGAGCAAACAGG